CAGAGGGGGCAAGCGUUAUUCGGAAUUAUUGGGCGUAAAGGGCGCGUAGGCGGCUUUGCAAGUGACGGGUGAAAGCCCUCGGCUUAACCGAGGAACUGCCUGUCAGACUGUGAGGCUUGAGACCGGGAGAGGUGAGUGGAAUUCCCAGUGUAGCGGUGAAAUGCGUAGAUAUUGGGAGGAACACCAGUGGCGAAGGCGGCUCACUGGACCGGAACUGACGCUGAGGCGCGAAAGCGUGGGGAGCAAACAGAAUUAGAUACCCUGGUAGUCCACGCCGUAAACGAUGAGUGCUUGGUGUAGCGGGUAUCGACCCCUGCUGUGCCGAAGUCAACACAUUAAGCACUCCGCCUGGGGAGUACGGUCGCAAGACUG
rnacentral:rRNA from 1 species